AGAAGAAGGAGCUGGUGUUGGCGAAAGUGGAGAUCGCUCCCUGAGCGACGCACUCCGCCGAGUUUGUGCGGAAGACGCUCCACACUCCGAAGGCGUAGGAGACGGCGGAGAGCCAGUCAGACACCGAGAGGAAAGAGUUGCCGCUGCAGAUUUCCAAAUUGGAUGGAUACCAUGCUGAGCUUGUGGAUGCACGCUUGCCUUAUGGAGGCAGCCAGGAGAGCCUUAACCACGCGAGAGUCUGCUCCUGCCAUCUGCCGAACCGCUGUGUGACUGAUGAGAAGGGCUGGUGCGUGUCCUGGAUACUUUCUAAUGAGCAGUGUGAGCUGAUGCCGGCCUACACCUCAUCAGACACCGGUCACUUGCAGGCUUUAUCUCCAGUUGGGAUGCACACGAUCACCCAGGAAGGCUACCAUCCACCUGGGACCCCUCCCCGGAGGUGUGCCAUUCCACUGCUGAUUGCCUCUCUGUGUUUUAGCAGCAAUGCACCAUUCAAGUCUGCAGGCAACUUGACAAAUGAGCAGCGACCUGAGCAGAGGGGAUGCUUAUACUGCACCACACAUCCUGUCCCAUCCACAUCCUCGCGUCCCGCAGUGUUUCACCUUUCCCAGCCGAUGCCCUUUCCUUAUUGUAACGCUGUAAGUCACACAUGUAGAGUACAUGCUUAAAUUCAUGCUUGCUGAUCCACGUACACACAAAGACGCUGCUUAAAGAGCGUGUAAGUGAUCAGAAGCCUAUGUAUUUUCUAUUCUUUCUUCUUCAGAUAUGCUAGGCUGCCCAAAUUGAUCGUGUCAUUUUAAAUCAUUUGGCAGAAAAUGAUAAACUGGAACUGGAACGUAAGCACAUAAAAAUAAAACAUUUUCCCCAAACUUUAAAA